rnacentral:lncRNA from 1 species
CGAAACGUUCAUAUGAACAGUAUAUUAUGAGAUGUUAAAGUUUUCGUGAGACAGGGCUAGAACGGUUUCUGAAUCCCCUGAUCUGACUUUGGAAAUUCAUUAUAAAUUAACCAGAUACAUUUAGAAGUCAUGCCAUAUAUGUAUAGAUUCAUUUUUGAGUAUAGUUUCUAUAUAAAGAAACAGAAUCAGUAUUGAAGCCCUGUACAGGGAGAUAUCCAAGUCGUAAUGCAUGAAGGUCAGUGUAGUCGCACCCUGUAAUAGGGGAGACUUUAACUAAUAAAAUGUACUAAUUGGCCUGACCAAAAAUUCUAGAAAAAAAUAUGUAGAUGGACAUAUGAGUCUAGUUUCAGAAAAAAAUUACGAAACUGAUUUUCGAGUUUUGGAACUCAAGAUAUGAUUUUUAAGGUGACAGUGACGCUGUUAGCCAACUGCCUGGAAAUUUUUAAAAUGGACUGUGAAAGUAAAUGAAUUAAGUCGGUUAGCACCUCGUGUUUGACUCCGGCAACGGUCUCGGGUACGGGGUGUUACAACCUCGCAAUGGUCUUAUGUGCGAAUGCAACCUGUCUCCAUUGAUUUCAGAAAUUGUCAUUUUCGUUACUUUUUACAAUUCGUUCUAUCAACAAAUAAAUUUAAUAUCAAUAAUUUUACAUCAUUUAAACUUUAAUAUUCAUAAACACUUAGAAAUAUAAUUGAGUUCAUAUUAAUGAACUUACAGAGCUAAUUUGCAGUAAUGGCUCCGAGUUUCUCAAUCAAUGAUUGACAUAAUAACAAUUCAUUAUUUUAUUCCAUAAUGCCACAUUCUAUCUAUUUAUGAUCAUGUCAAUAUCCAUUCAUUAGAGCUUAAACAAACAAAAAUAAAAACAUACUUAAAUAACAAUUAACUAAUUAAAUUAAGUAAAUGACGUUCGAGUUUCAAGACUACGAACUUACCUAGCAUGUAAACACGAGAUUUUAUUUAACUCCAUACAUUAACCAACAUUAUUCAACUUCAAUCUCAUCAUUCGACUAUACAUCUCCAUAUAUAACAUUUCCGUACUAUCAAUUUAAAUUCUAAUCACUUAUUGAUUCAUUUCAUAUUGUCACACUUCAUAUAUAUAUAUAAUACACAAUUUCUCAUCUCAUAAUUUAAUCAUUUGCCUAUAUGCAAAUAUAAUUAAGAUAUCAAAGUAAUAAUUAAGUAUUUAAAUUAAAUAAAUAGAUUUCGAGUUCAAAGACUACGAACUUACUCGGAAAAACAUAAUAAAAAUGUCUUGCUUUGGACAGCAUAAACACUUCUUUAAUACUAUCAUUUAAUUUAGCACAAAAAUAAUAGAAAUGUCUAGCUUGGACAGCACUUAAUACAUGCUUUGGACGACAUUUAAAGCUUAUUUUAGACAACAUUCCUCACGAAAAGAACAAGACAACAUUUUUGAAUAAUAACGACCUUAACCACAACAUCAAUAGCUUUUAAAUCAGAAUUUUCCUUUGUAUCAAAUGAACUCUUCAACCGAAAACAUAAGUAGGAAAACAUAGAAAUUUAAGCAAUUAAAAUUUGACAAAGGCCAAGAAAGGCUCACAAUUAAACAUGAUUGAGUUCUUACUAGCAGGGCAUUUCAUUCUAAACACACAAUCAAACAUUACAUUACAUAUAAAAUUUCAAUAUUUUAUACAUACAGUACUCGUAUAUAUAUUGUCUUAUAGUUCGAUAAUGAUAUAUCAAAGCCACCAAAAAGCAUUUAAUUAAUUAUUCAAGAUCAUGCAAUGUACUAAUUUAAUUCUUUUUUUUAAGUAUAUAAGCUCUUGACCUGUUUUGAAACAGAACAACAAUAACAAUUAUUAAAUAGACAGGGUUAAAUUACAUACACAUUUCAUCUAUUUAAGUAGGGCAAUUUAGACAUGCUUAAUUACAACGUUCAUUUGGACAUGAUUAAUCUCCUGUAUACAUUCAGACAUAUUAAACUCUAGCAUGCCUUUAGAUAUUAAUUUCUAGCACGCAUUCGAAUACUUUUUGAGCUAACAACGAUUAAAUUUUCAGACAAUUUAACCCCCUACAUCCAUUCAUCAAAUACUUGUUUCUUAGUUUCAACUAUUAAUAAUGAGACAUUACUAAAAUUGAAACUUUUGGACAGUAAUAUAAACAAUAAUUUAAACUAUUUUAAACUCCCAAAUUUUAAACUCCUCAAGCAUAAACCGAACAGCAAUGCACAUUAGUCCAACCAUAUUUAUUUUGUGCAUUUUACCCACAGUACAAGAUACGCAAAAUUUAACAGCAACCCAAAUCAAGCGACAUCCUUAAUCUUUUUCUCUUCAAUUGAAUAAUCAAGAGAUAGUUCCCACAACUUCCAGUCAAAUUCAACAAUUUUUUUUUUUGUGUUAGAAUAAUAAAAGAAUUUUAAAUGAUUUGAAUUCAAGAACUCACCAGAAAUUCCAAGCCGAGCCUAGCCUUGAACCAGUUCUUCCCCCAUCUUGCUGCUGCCUUUCCUUUAGACGAAUGGAAAAGGGAUUUUUCCUUCUCCCCCCAGAAAUUCGAACAGUAACCCGAAAAUAAGCUGAAAUUUCUUUCAUUUCCACCAGCCUAAGAAAAAAAAUAUUCGGAUGGAAGAAAGAAAAUUAAAAGAAAAAAAAAAUAUCCUUGGCUUUCUUCUCUCCACAUGUUUUUAUAUUUU